rnacentral:tRNA from 1 species
GCCAGUGUGGCUCAAUGAUGAGAGUGUUGGCCUGCACACCAAAGGGUCUUGGGUUCAAUUCCCAGUCAAGGGUA